UGGGGAAUCUUGCGCAAUGGGCGAAAGCCUGACGCAGCAACGCCGCGUGCGGGAUGAAGGCCUUCGGGUCGUAAACCGCUUUCAGUGGGGACGAAUCCAGACGGUACCCACAGAAGAAGCCCCGGCCAACUACGUGCCAGCAGCCGCGGUAACACGUAGGGGGCGAGCGUUGUCCGGAUUCAUUGGGCGUAAAGAGCUCGUAGGCGGCUCAGCAAGUCGGGUGUGAAAACUCCAGGCUCAACCUGGAGACGCCACCCGAUACUGCUGUGGCUAGAGUCCAGUAGGGGAGCGUGGAAUUCCCGAUGUAGCGGUGAAAUGCGCAGAUAUCGGGAGGAACACCAGCGGCGAAGGCGGCGCUCUGGGCUGGAACUGACGCUGAGGAGCGAAAGCGUGGGGAGCAAACAGGAUUAGAUACCC
rnacentral:rRNA from 1 species